GUCAGGAUGGUUGAGCGGAUCUAAGGCGCUGCGUUCAGGUCGCAGUCCGGUGUGGGCGUGGGUUCGAAUCCCGUUUGACA